rnacentral:rRNA from 1 species
UACGAAGGGUGCAAACGUUGCUCGGAAUUAUUGGGCGUAAAGCGCACGUAGGCGGCUUUGUAAGUCGGAUGUGAAAUCCCUCGGCUUAACCAAGGAAGUGCAUCCGAAACUACAGAGCUUGAGUACUUAAGAGGAUCGCGGAAUUCCCGGUGUAGAGGUGAAAUUCGUAGAUAUCUGGAGGAACACCGGUGGCGAAGGCGGCAUUCUGGACCAUUACUGACGCUGAGGAGCGAAAGCCAGGGGAGCAAACGGG